AACUUCCGUUACGUCAGAAUGUGACCUUAUUUGGACACAGGGUUGCUGCAGAUACAAUAAAGAUGAGGUCACUGGGGAUGGCCUGCAUACUAUGACUGGUGUCCACACAAAAAGGGCACAUUUGGACACUGAGACAACGAGAGAGGAAAGAUGAUGUGAACAUGAAAGCAGAGAUGGAAGUGACACUUCGACCAGCCUAGCAAUGCUGAAGACGCCAGCAAACCACCAGGAGCUGGGCGAGAGGCGUGGAAGAGACUCGUGGCCCUCAGAAGGAAGCCCUGCUGCCAACUCGUGAACUUCUUGCCUCCAGAAUUUGACAACAGUCUGCCUCCUUGUACUCACAUGGAUCUAUGACCUGAAUUACCACGUCAAUCAACUGGGAAUAAAUUUUUCAAAGGAAUUACAGAAAAAAGCACCUGCUUUGCUCUUGGGUUUUCUGAGAGACCACAGAGAAGACUGUUCCCGCUCAUCACAGUAUUGAUUUCAUGUAGGAACUUUUUCCUUUUAACAACGAAACGACUGCAAGGUCCCACUGUCCACAGCAAACCAAUCUGACAAGGUCACCACCUGAAGCCCACUCUCUGUCUUCCAGGCACCACACACUGCUUUGACGUCACCACCAUCUAUUUAUAAGAAUUCACAAACUGGGUCUAAAUUACAGACUUCGAUUACAAAGUGACUUGCCGACAUGAACGACCCACCUCUGACAAACUCCUGGAAUUUCUAUGCACAAUCUCACCUUGAAAAGGAGGAGUUACCACCUGUCAUAUCCCCUUCCCCUGCCUCCUGAUCCCAGGCUAACAUGGAGCCAUGGGGAAAGAAAAGUUUUGCUUAAUGAUGAAUGAUUAAACUCUCUAAAAAUCCCCACACCUAUGGAUUAAUCAAGAUGUCACCAUCUCUCUGGUUUUUGUUCUGACCUUAAUGAUAGUCAUGGGGGAGACAAAAGGAAGAGAGAGGUAGGAAUGAAAAAGGAGAAAUGAUGUAGUGAGUGAGAGAAAGCCAUAGUAUGCCAUCUCAGCAUCUAUCCUAAAAUCUACAGAACCUAGAGAUUAGAUCUACACUCACCAUUAAACAUCUUGAAAAACCUCAUGCAAGUCAUCUGGCCUGUUACCACUUGUC